UACAGAGGUCUCAAGCGUUGUUCGGAUUCAUUGGGCGUAAAGGGCUCGUAGGCGGUUUGUCGCGUCGGGAGUGAAAACACACAGCUUAACUGUGUGCUUGCUUCCGAUACGGGCAGACUAGAGGUAUGCAGGGGGAGAACGGAAUUCCUGGUGUAGCGGUGAAAUGCGCAGAUAUCAGGAGGAACACCGGUGGCGAAGGCGGUUCUCUGGGCAUUACCUGACGCUGAGGAGCGAAAGUGUGGGGGAGCGAACAGG
rnacentral:rRNA from 1 species